AUGCCUGUACCAUAACCGACACAGGUGGGUAGGUAGAGUAUACUAAGGGGCGCGAGAUAACUCUCUCUAAGGAACUCGGCAAAAUGACUCCGUAACUUCGGGAGAAGGAGUGCCUUAUUUAUAAGGUUGCAAUAACAAGAUCCAAGCAACUGUUUAUCAAAAACACAGGUCUCCGCUAAGUCGUAAGACGAUGUAUGGGGGCUGACGCCUGCCCAGUGCCAGAAGGUUAAAGAAGUUGGUUAGUGUAUGCGAAGCUGAUGACUGAAGCCCUGGUGAACGGCGGCCGUAACGAUAACGGUCCUAAGGUAGCGAAAUUCCUUGUCGGGUAAGUUCCGACCCGCACGAAAGGCGUAAUGAUUUGGAUACUGUCUCGGAGAGAGGCUCGGUGAAAUAGACUUGUCUGUGAAGAUGCGGACUACCUGCACCAGGACAGAAAGACCCUAUGAAGCUUUACUGUAACUUGAAAUUGGAAUUGGACUUUGCUUGCGCAGUAUAGGUGGGAAGCGUUGAAGAUAUUCUUGCGGGAGUAUUGGAGCUAUCAGUGAGAUACCACUCUUGUAAUGUUAGAUUUCUAACUUUGAACCAUAAUCUGGUCAAAGAACAGUUUCAGGUGGGCAGUUUGACUGGGGCGGUCGCCUCCCAAAUGGUAACGGAGGCGUACAAAGGUUUCCUCUGAACGGAUAGAAAUCGUAUCUAGAGUGUAAAGGCAUAAGGAAGCUUGACUGUGAGACCUACAAGUCGAGCAGGGACGAAAGUCGGUCUUAGUGAUCUGACGGUACUGAGUGGAAAGGCCGUCACUCAACGGAUAAAAGUUACUCUAAGGAUAACAGGCUGAUCUCCCCCAAGAGUUCACAUCGACGGGGAGGUUUGGCACCUCGAUGUCGGCUCAUCGCAUCCUGGGGCGGUAGUACGUCCCAAGGGUUGGGCUGUUCGCCCAUGAAAGCGGUACGCGAGCUGGGUUCAGAACGUCGUGAGACAGUUCGGUCCAUAUCCGGUGUAGGCGUUAGAAUAUUGAGAGGAGCCUUCUUUAGUACGAGAGGACCGAGAAGGACACACCGCUGGUGUACCAGUUAUCGUGCCAACGGUAAACGCUGGGUAGCUAUGUGUGGAGUGGAUAACCGCUGAAAGCAUCUAAGUGGGAAGCCCACCUCAAGAUGAGUAUUCCCGUGUAAGGUCACGGGAAGACGACCCGUAAAUAGGCACGAGGUGGAAGUGCAGAGAUGUAUGAAGCCGAAGUGUACUAAUAGACCGUCGGCUUGACC
rnacentral:rRNA from 1 species